CCCCAACAGUCAUCUCCUAAGAGGCUAAAUCAGGAGAAAAGGAAGCCAAAGGAUCUCAUCCCUCAGCCUAGUAAAAGGUCAAAGGUUACCGAGACUCCUUCGGAGUUUCCUUAUGAUGCUCCAGUCACUGCUGCAGGUGAUUGGUUUUCCAAGGUAGCAGAUGGUUACAUAGAGCCAUCAAAAUUCAAAAUCUGGCAGCAGCGUAAUGGUGAACAGGCGGCUGACGCAUGUAGGCGCGCCGCAGCUGAGUUGUUUUUCCACUUAACUUGUAACCCCUCAGAUACUGAAAAACU
rnacentral:lncRNA from 1 species